GGACGAACGCUGGCGGCGUGCUUAACACAUGCAAGUCGAGCGGUAAGGCCCUUUCGGGGGUACACGAGCGGCGAACGGGUGAGUAACACGUGGGUGACCUGCCCUCAGCUCUGGGAUAAGCCUGGGAAACCGGGUCUAAUACUGGAUAUGACUCCAUGACGCAUGUUGUGGGGUGGAAAGCCUUGUGCGGCUGAGGAUGGGCCCGCGGCCUAUCAGCUUGUUGGUGGGGUGANGGCCUACCAAGGCGACGACGGGUAGCCGGCCUGAGAGGGCGACCGGCCACACUGGGACUGAGACACGGCCCAGACUCCUACGGGAGGCAGCAGUGGGGAAUCUUGCGCAAUGGGCGAAAGCCUGACGCAGCGACGCCGCGUGAGGGAUGAC
rnacentral:rRNA from 1 species